AUUGAACGCUGGCGGCAGGCCUAACACAUGCAAGUCGAACGAGCGGCGGACGGGUGCGUAAUGCAUGGGACUCUAGCUUAUGGAGGGGGAUAACUACCGGAAACUGUAGCUAAUACCGCGUUCACUAGGCGCAGCCCAAGUGGGAUUAGGUUGUUGGUGGGGUAAAGGCUAACCAAGCCGACGAUCACUAGCUGGUCUGCGAGGAUGACCAGCAACACUGGGACUGAGACACGGCCCAGACUCCUACGGGAGGCAGCAGUGGGGAAUAUUGGGCAAUGGGGGCAACCUGACGCAGCCAUGCCGCGUGAAUGAAGAAGGCCUUCGGGUUGUAAAGUUCUUUCGUUAGCGAGGCGUUAACUAAAGAAGAAGCACCGGCUAACUCCGUGCCAGCAGCCGCGGUAAUAC
rnacentral:rRNA from 1 species